rnacentral:rRNA from 1 species
CGGCUACGAGCAUUAGAAACAAGGCUAACAGAGGCAGGGAGGGAAUACAUGCUCAGGGAAACCGAAACCACUUUCUUCACAAGACACUUGAGGCGUGGGAGAUCGCCCAUACACGAAAGAAGCCCAAGCCUGGCGAGGCCAAGUACUACGGCAAGACCGCGGAGUAUAAGAAGGCCUACUCUGAGGGGUAUCUGAGUUUACAUCCUGACACACCUGACCCCAUUGCGGCGGAUCUGGACGAGAGGGUGGUGGUGAGCAUGGGGAAGAAGCACGGUCGGUCGCCGUUUCUGGAUGCUGUGAUCACUCCUUCUAUCUCCUACACACAGCUCCGAGCUACCAACCCGAGCCUGUGCCAGCGCACGAGCACGUCCAUGACCAGUGCGCAGUCACAGUCCCUCAUUGCUGAGCGGAACUCUGCCUACUUGGAGUACACACGUCAGGAGACCAUGACGUGGCACGAGAGCCUUCAUGCAUACCAUCAGCAGAGGGAUCGCACGUUGCAACACUUCCUUGAGGAAAUGGCGGCCGGCAGGGUUCCUCAAUUGCAACCAGCACCAUCUCCUCCACCACAACCAGUGCUUCUUACUUUUGAGGAGUUUCUGACACAGAACCCUGGACCCUCGCCG